UACAGAGGGUGCAAGCGUUAAUCGGAAUUACUGGGCGUAAAGCGCGCGUAGGUUGUUUGUUAAGUUGGAUGUGAAAGCCCCGGGCUCAACCUGGGAACUGCAUCCAAAACUGGCAAGCUAGAGUACGGUAGAGGGUGGUGGAAUUUCCUGUGUAGCGGUGAAAUGCGUAGAUAUAGGAAGGAACACCAGUGGCGAAGGCGACCACCUGGACUGAUACUGACACUGAGGUGCGAAAGCGUGGGGAGCAAACAGG
rnacentral:rRNA from 1 species